CUUGUAUGCGUUACUUGCUUUUCAAAACCAUUCUAGAACCUUUCUUAAGUUCAUUUUGAGUGCCACCUUUCAUUGGAAACCAUUUAAUUGCUUGAUUUAAGUUGUUGAAAAUCCUGCACAUAAGUUGUUUGACAAAAUUAUGGCUGUGCAAUCUGGUUUAGCAGUUUCUGAGCAGCAGCAGAGUUGAAUUUUUGGAUUCCUAAUUGGACAUUNGUGGUCUGUGUGAGUUCUAGACUGGUGCAGAAGCUAGUACAGGUUGUCUCCUAACACUGGUAGAAUUCUAGGAAGGAGAUUGGAGCAAGGAAAGCUCAUACGGAAGUUGCUUUCUGGUGCAGCAGUUUGGUGUUUGGACUGCACAAUUUCUUUUUCUGGUGUUGCAACAGCAGAGUGCCUUUCAUUGCAACUGUGAGAUUUGUGUAAAAUUUACCUAUAUCCUUUCAUUUGAGAGAAACCAAAGCUGCACACCACUUUGUUUUUACCAUUGUUGAGUGUUGAAACAACCAUUGUGCAUAAGCACCAUAUCUGCCGUGUGAGAUUUGUUAGUGAUUUAGCAGUUUUCUUGACCGAGAGAAAAGAGUGCAGUAGCUAAAAUCUAUGAUGCAUCAAGCCUCAUUUGAGAGUAGUUACUGCAAGUUUGUGAGAAACUUUGGAGUGACUAAAAUCAGUGUAGAACAUGAGUGUUGAGUGUUGCACCUAAAGUCCACUAGNUUUGACUGCAAGAAGGAGUUUUCCUAUUUGAAAUGCUGCAUUCAAUUAUUGUUUUAGUCAUGACAUAUCAUUCAGAUUUAGAAAAUUGAAAUUGUGACAUAAUUACACUUGUACAUUCACUUAUUUGAGUGCAACUCACAUAGUCAAAUUGACUUUUGGAACAAAAUUGAGAAAACUGGUUUUAUUUUGUUUAUUUGGACAUUAAUUUGGACUUGAACAGU
rnacentral:lncRNA from 1 species